rnacentral:rRNA from 1 species
GACGAACGCUGGCGGUGUGCUUAACACAUGCAAGUCGAACGGUAAGGCCCUUUCGGGGGUACACGAGUGGCGAACGGGUGAGUAAGACGUGCGUAACCUGCCCUCACCUCUGGGAUAACAAUCGGAAAGGGAUGCGAAUACUGGACAGGUGCGUGCAAGUCAUCCUGGGGGUUGGAAAGAUAUUUUUUGGUGUGGGAUGGACUCGCGGCCUAUCAGCUUGUUGGUGAGGGAGUGGCUCACCAAGGCUUUGACGGGUAGCCGGCCUGCGAGGGCGUCCGGCCCCAUUGGGGCUGUGAGACGGCCCCAACUCCUCCGGGGGGCAGCAGUGGGGAAUAUUGUACACUGGACGGAAGUCUGAUGCAGCAACGCCGCGCGCGCGAUAACGGCCUUCGGGUUGUAAACCGCUUUCAAGUGUGACGAAGCUUUUUUGUGACGGUAGCAGUAGAAGAAGCACCGGCUAACUACGUG